AGUUUCAACUGCAGAAUCUCUCUCAUUUGUAUCUGACUGCUCAGCUAUACAAACCCUCUAAAAAGACAUAUUUGUUUUUUACACUCAACACACCCAUUUCCUGUUUUUCUCUCGUUCCAAACUUGACUUCUCUUUAAAAUGGACACCCACUUCAUUUUUGAACAAGUCCGAAGAAUGAGAUCAUCCUCUUUCUAAGAGAAUGAGCAAAACCGCUACAAAGCAGAAAAAAUUAUGUUGAGGCAGUUUCUACUCAUAAGGCAGAAGGAUCAACUUCCUGAUUAUUUAUCUGUCAGAGACAUGAAGACCUGGCUGCUGACAGGAAGAAGCUUCCUGGAAGAAUGGAUACUUUGUCCUAUGGAGUGGGGAUGGCACAAGUGUGGCGAGGGAUUUGUGCCAAUUAAGACAACUCUACCUCCUGCUCCUGAGAAGCUGAAGGUCAUAAGCUAAGCUAGCCUACAACAGGGAGAGACCAGGACGAGCGUUCCAUGUUGUGGAGUGUCGCCGACUGGGGGUUCUGGAGAGGCUUAUGGCCGCCUGACGCAGGACGAGCGUUCCCGAGGUUUGCUGAGGAGGAAGCGGAAGGUAGAGACAACAGACCGGUGCGGCUGCAACUGGAACAAUGGACUGUGAUGUGGUAACCAAGCUAAGAUCCCUCACCUUUGUUUUUAAUAUAGAUAUUUAAUUUGAGAAAUUUAAUCUUUUUUUAAGGCUUUAGAAUCAUUUAAAGUGUUAAAAUAAAUGCUGUGUGUCAUUUGUUCCUUUGGGUCACACUGCUCUCCCUUGUA